ACAGCAGCAGCCGCGGGAAUACGGAGGGGGCUAGCGUUGUUCGGAAUUACUGGGCGUAAAGCGCACGUAGGCGGCUUGGUAAGUUAGAGGUGAAAGCCUGGAGCUCAACUCCAGAAUUGCCUUUAAGACUGCCGAGCUAGCAGGUGAGAGAGGUAAGUGGAAUUCCGAGUGUAGAGGUGAAAUUCGUAGAUAUUCGGAAGAACACCAGUGGCGAAGGCGGCUUACUGGCUCAUACUGGACGCUGAGGUGCGAAAGCGUGGGGAGCAAACAGGAUUAGAUACCCCUGUAGUCCCUGUCUCUUAUAA
rnacentral:rRNA from 1 species